GUAGGUGGCAAGCGUUGUCCGGAAUUAUUGGGCGUAAAGCGCGCGCAGGCGGUUCUUUAAGUCUGAUGUGAAAGCCCACGGGCUCAACCGUGGAGGGUCAUUGGAAACUGGGGAACUUGAGUACAGAAGAGGAAAGCGGAAUUCCACGUGUAGCGGUGAAAUGCGUAGAGAUGUGGAGGAACGCCAGUGGCGAAGGCGGCUUUCUGGUCUGUAACUGACGCUGAGGCGCGAAAGCGUGGGGAGCAAACAGGAUUAGAUACCCUGGUAGUCCACGCCGUAAACGAUGAGUGCUAAGUGUUAGGGGGUUUCCGCCCCUUAGUGCUGCAGCUAACGCAUUAAGCACUCCGCCUGGGGAGUACGGCCGCAAAGGCUG
rnacentral:rRNA from 1 species